rnacentral:rRNA from 1 species
UAUACUGUGAAACUGCGAAUGGCUCAUUAAAUCAGUUAUAGUUUAUUUGAUGGUACCUUACUACUCGGAUAACCGUAGUAAUUCUAGAGCUAAUACGUGCGCAAAUCCCGACUUCCGGAAGGGACGUAUUUAUUAUAUAAAAGGCCGACCGGGCUUGCCCGACUCGCGGUGAAUCAUGAUAACUUCACGAAUCGCAUGGCCUCCGCGCCGGCGAUGUUUCAUUCAAAUUUCUGCCCUAUCAACUUUCGAUG